rnacentral:lncRNA from 1 species
AACUAAAGUUUCAAUUCGUUCAAACUUGUCAUUUUAAUAAUCAAAACCUUGAACUUUCAAUAAAUUUUUUUUUCAGUAUUUAAAAUUUUAAUUAUUUCUCAUUUUAAUUUUUACACUCGAUUUAAAAAUUAUUGUUUGUACCAAGUUCAUCUAUAUAUCCAUAUGCCAUGAAUACAUUAAACUUUCAUCCAUCUCACAUUUUCAAUUCAACAUCUAGAUUCUAUAGAGCAAAAAAUGUAAAUCAAUAGGUGGUAGCACUGCAAGAAAACUAAAAUUUAAGAGCGCUUUUUUCAAUAUUUAACGAUGUUUAAAAGUAUUCUAAAAUAGUCUAUUAUCAUAUUUAAAAAAAUCGGCAAAAGUGUUGAUAAAUGAAGACUCGCCACGUAUAUACUGAUGCUUGUGCUAAAUAUUAAUAAAAUAUAUUUUGACGCUUUAAAGCGUCAGAAUUUUUUGAAAUUCCGAAGCUUUAAAUCGUCGAAAAAUUAAAACUAAUAGUGAAAUUUAUCACCGACCGUCCCUAGAGCAAGUGGCAAAGGACUUGGUGGUUGGUACCCGAGACCCAAGUUCGAAUCCUAGUUGAUUCACAUUUCCAGCUAAGUUUAUUAAAAAUUUCUUAUAGUAUAGGGUUAAGAUGAAAAAAGUAUUGAUAAAUCUAUGGUAUAUAGGCGUAUAGAUAUACUAGAUGUAUAGAAUAAUUU